rnacentral:rRNA from 1 species
UACAGAGGGUGCAAGCGUUAAUCGGAAUUACUGGGCGUAAAGGGUGCGUAGGUGGUUGACUAAGUGAGGUGUGAAAGUCCCGGGCUUAACCUGGGGAGGUCAUUUCAUACUGGUUGACUUGAGUAGGGUAGAGGGAGGUGGAAUUUCCGGCGUAGCGGUGAAAUGCGUAGAGAUGCGGAGGAACACCGAUGGCGAAGGCAGCCCCCUGGGCUAACACUGACGCUCAGGCACGAAAGCGUGGGGAGCAAACAGG